UCCCUGAGACCUUAGAGUUGUC
rnacentral:miRNA from 1 species